AUGAACGCUGGCGGCGUGCCUAAUACCUGCAAGUCGAGCGAACAGACGAGGAGCUUGCUCCUCUGACGUUAGCGGCGGACGGGUGAGUAACACGUGGAUAACCUACCUAUAAGACUGGGAUAACUUCGGGAAACCGGAGCUAAUACCGGAUAAUAUAUUGAACCGCAUGGUUCAAUAGUGAAAGACGGUUUUGCUGUCACUUAUAGAUGGUUCCGCGCCGCAUUAGCUAGUUGGUAAGGUAACGGCUUACCAAGGCAACGAUGCGUAGCCGACCUGAGAGGGUGAUCGGCCACACUGGAACUGAGACACGGUCCAGACUCCUACGGGAGGCAGCAGUAGGGAAUCUUCCGCAAUGGGCGAAAGCCUGACGGAGCAACGCCGCGUGAGUGAUGAAGGUCUUCGGAUCGUAAAACUCUGUUAUUAGGGAAGAACAAAUGUGUAAGUAACUAUGCACGUCUUGACGGUACCCAAUCAGAAAGCCACGGCUAACUACGUG
rnacentral:rRNA from 1 species